CUCUUUGAGGAUAGCUCUUAGCAAGACACCAAGUGGGGGGUUGCUACCUGCCGCGCACCUUUAAAGAUCAGGCCCCGUAUUAAGAAGUUUAAACAUAGCUCUAGUAGCCUAACUUUCAGAAAGUACAUUUUUUAUUUUAAAAGUUGGGUUGCUUUUCUUUUAAAGGGAGGUCACCACAUCCCUGAGGAGCUCUGCAAUUCCCUGCUCCCACAGCCACCAGCUGGUGAGCGAUCCCCCUGCACCGAGCAGCCUGGCGUGGAGCGAGGCGUGAAGCCUGUCCCGGUAUAAAGCAGGGCAGCUCUCCCCUCCCUCAUCUCUGCAUCUCUUCCUUGAUGAACCACGAAGCUCUGCACCACAGGUGUCGUCCCAGGUGGUCCCUACUCUCAUUCACAGUGGUUUUUGUCCCAUGGGGAGCGCGCUUGCAAAGUUACCCACCACCGGAGCCAGGGAGAGAGCUGCAGCAGCACCCCAGAGAGGGGGAGACGUGAGGGGAGCAUCCAGCACAGGGAGCGGGACAACUGGGAGAGGAACAGAUCUGGAAGCUCACAGCUGCCAAGUAAGGGUGCUUCUCCCCGUCUGUAGGUCCCAGAGCAAUUUACAGAGGAGGAACCAAUACUCAACUUCUUCAUUGCAUGACCUAGAGGGAAGGUACAGCAUACAGGGAAGGAAGGGGUAUCUCAGGAAAUGCUCCACCACAGACAUUCAAUGUGGAAGGCUCGGGAAGCAGAUGAGACAAACACUGCAGCCAGCUGGUAGUUCUGCAGCCAACCACACUCUCCUGGUCUGUGCCUGCCUCCCUCUGUCUGAGCUGGGCUCGGAGGGAACCGCAGGACCUGCAAAUCUCCCCGCACUGAGGAGAAAUACAGCACGGUCACAGCUUUCAUCUGGCUCAGAAGAGACCCGCUGUGUCCAUCCAGCCAAACUGCAAGCAAAAAACAAAGCUAGCUCUUGAUGGGCUAACGAUCCCUGGUGCCACCAGGACAAGUCUGUUACGGUGGCAGCUGUCCGGUGACUUGGAGAAUUUAUUUUUACAGCAGCUCGGUGAUGGGAACCUUGGGAAAACAUCGCUUGGCAGAGCAGGACCCUAACGAUCCCUUUGCCUAAGCCGCUCCCAAAUCCCCUCGCUGGCUUUAUGCGCGCUCAUGUGAGGAUGAGCAUUAGCGUGAGGGUGCUGGAGGUUAGCAGCAAGAAGAUUAGCAGCACGGGCAACGCGCUGGGACGGGCUCUGCCUGCGUCACUGUGCGCACACGCUGAGAGGGCGAGGGUGUGCUCUGGGCAGCUCUCCUCAGCCGCUGUGCACCACAGCCUGACGGCUGCUCUGCGGGGAGGGAAACCAGUCAACGAGGGCCAGAGACCCCCUCGAUGUCUCUUACGAGUUAAAUAGGGCACACACAGGCCAGGCACUGGAGCGCACUCGUGAGGAGGGGACCACAAAGUAAGGGAUAAUCGAGCUGAAGAGCACCACGUCUCCCAAACUCUCACCCUCUGGAAAAUACGACACGCAGGAGUAGCAGAUGAGAACAGACUUGAGCCAGAGGAUGCAGCACUAAUGACCAGGGCUCUGCUGUGUAUAAUUAAGGUUAAAUUACAAAGAUUGUCGCGGGAUCUCCACUCUAAACCAACCUCUCUUUUCCCUUUGCUUCCUUUUUUUUUUUUACUUGCCAGAUGCUUUAUGCUUUUUGUCUAAA